rnacentral:rRNA from 1 species
AUGACGGGCAUAUAUGGAGAACCAAGCUGGGAGCAUAAGGAUCGUACAUAUCAAUAUAUACGAGAUUCGCACGCCCAAUCUAGAUUACCUUGGGUCCUUCUUGGCGACUUCAAUGAGAUUUUACUGUCAUCAGAGAAGGAGGGAGGAGCACCGAGACAGCGUGCUCGUUUACAAGCCUUCCAGGAUACACUAACAGAUUGUGAUCUGGAAGACUUAGGAUAUGUGGGCGAUAAAUUCACGUGGUUCCGAGGCGGCCUUAAAGAGCGACUCGACCGCGCUGUGAUGAAUGGUGGUUGGAUGAACAUGCACCCAUAUGCUGGAUUGUGUAACUUGGAGAUGGGCAAAUCAGAUCACAGGCCUAUUUUGUUGGACACAGAAUAUCUUGCGGGAGUGGGAGAAGCAAAACCACAAUAUAAAAGGCGUUUCGAAGCUAGGUGGUUGGAGGAAAACACAGUGGAAGAGAUCGUCAAAACAGCGUGGCUCAAGGCGCAUCACCAAGGCCUCUGUGGCAAACUGCAUGAGAAGGUGGAUGCUGCCACCGUGACCUGCAUGAAUGGGAUAGGAAAGUACUUAAAGGCCCCCGAGUGCGCCUGA